AAUGGGGGCAACCCUGAUCCAGCCAUGCCGCGUGAGUGAUGAAGGCCUUAGGGUUGUAAAGCUCUUUCGCCCGCGAAGAUAAUGACUGUAGCGGGAGAAGAAGCCCCGGCUAACUUCGUGCCAGCAGCCGCGGUAAUACGAAGGGGGCUAGCGUUGUUCGGAAUCACUGGGCGUAAAGCGUACGUAGGCGGGCAAUUAAGUCAGGGGUGAAAGCCUUGAGCUCAACUCAAGAACUGCCUUUGAUACUGGUUGCCUGGAGUCCGGGAGAGGUGAGUGGAACUGCUAGUGUAGAGGUGAAAUUCGUAGAUAUUAGCAAGAACACCAGUGGCGAAGGCGGCUCACUGGCCCGGUACUGACGCUGAGGUACGAAAGCGUGGGGAGCAAA
rnacentral:rRNA from 1 species